CUCGCUUGUUUUUCAAAAACAUGUCUUUUAGAUAAUAAUUUAAAGUCUGGCCUGCCCACUGAAUAUAAUUUAAAGGGCCGCGGUAUUUUGACUGUGCAAAGGUAGCAUAAUCAUUAGUCUUUUAAUUGAAGGCUUGUAUGAAUGGUUGGAUGAAAUAUUAACUGUCUCAAAUUAAUAAGAUAGAAUUUAAUUUUUAAGUUAAAAAGCUUAAAUGUUAUUAGAGGACGAGAAGACCCUAUAGAUUUUUAUAAUUUUUUAUUUAUAAAUAAUUUGGUUGAUAGAAGUUUUUAGGUAAGGAAUUAUUUUAUUGGGGUGAUAAAUAAAUUUAAUAAACUUUAUAAAAUAUAAACAUUAAUGUAUGAAUUAUUGAUCCAUUUUUAGUGAUUAUAAGAUUAAAUUACCUUAGGGAUAACAGCGUAAUUUUUUUAGAGAGUUCAUAUCGAUAAAAAAGUUUGCGACCUCGAUGUUGAAUUAAAGAUUAAUUUAGGUGUAGAAGUUUAAAUUUUUGGUCUGUUCGACCAUUGAAUCUUUACAUGAUCUGAGUCAAACCAGAG
rnacentral:rRNA from 1 species